rnacentral:rRNA from 1 species
CAGCAGCCGCGGUAAUACCGGCCCCGCGAGUGGUCGGGGUGAUUAUUGGGCCUAAAGCGUCCGUAGCCGGGUUGGGAAGUCCUCCGGGAAAUCUGGCCGCUUAACGGUCAGAAUGCCGGAGGAUACUCCCAGCCUAGGGAGCGGGCGAGGCCGAGGGUAUUCCCGGAGUAGGGGUGAAAUCCUAUAAUCCCGGGAGGACCACCUGUGGCGAAGGCGCUCGGCUGGAACGCGUCCGACGGUGAGGGACGAAGGCCAGGGGAGCAAACCGGAUUAGAUACCCGGGUAGUCCUGGCUGUAAACGAUGCGGACUUUGUGUCGGACAAGCUAUGAGCUUGUCCGGUGCCGGAGGGAAGCCGUUAAGUCCGCCGCCUGGGGAGUACGGCCGCAAGGCUGAAACUUAAAGGAAUUGGCGGG